rnacentral:rRNA from 1 species
UACGUAGGUGGCAAGCGUUGUCCGGAUUUACUGGGCGUAAAGAGUGCGCAGGCGGUCGUUCAAGUCGAGUGUGAAAGCCCCCGGCUCAACUGGGGAGGGUCACUCGAUACUGAUCGACUCGAAGGCAGAAGAGGGAAGCGGAAUUCCCGGUGUAGUGGUGAAAUGCGCAGAUAUCAGGAGGAAUACCGGUGGCGAAGGCGGAUCUCUGGGCCGAUACUGACGCUGAGGAGCGAAAGCGUGGGGAGCGAACAGG